UACGGAGGGGGCUAGCGUUGUUCGGAAUUACUGGGCGUAAAGCGCACGUAGGCGGCUUUGUAAGUUAGAGGUGAGAGCCCGGGGCUCAACUCCGGAAUUGCCUUUAAGACUGCAUCGCUUGAACACGGGAGAGGUGAGUGGAAUUCCGAGUGUAGAGGUGAAAUUCGUAGAUAUUCGGAAGAACACCAGUGGCGAAGGCGGCUCACUGGACCGUUGUUGACGCUGAGGUGCGAAAGCGUGGGGAGCAAACAGG
rnacentral:rRNA from 1 species